rnacentral:rRNA from 1 species
GAUGAACGCUAGCGGCAGGCUUAACACAUGCAAGUCGAGGGGCAGCACGUCUUCGGAUGGUGGCGACCGGCGCACGGGUGCGUAACGCGUAUAGAACCUACCUUUUACAGGGGAAUAGCCCAGAGAAAUUUGGAUUAAUGCCCCAUAGUAUUAUUAGAUGGCAUCAUUUGAUAAUUAAACAUUUAUGGGUAAAAGAUGGCUAUGCGUUCUAUUAGCUAGAUGGUAAGGUAACGGCUUACCAUGGCGACGAUAGAUAGGGGUCCUGAGAGGGAGAUCCCCCACACUGGUACUGAGACACGGACCAGACUCCUACGGGAGGCAGCAGUGAGGAAUAUUGGACAAUGGGCGAGAGCCUGAUCCAGCCAUGCCGCGUGCAGGAAGACGGUCCUAUGGGUUGUAAACUACUUUUAUUAGGGAAGAAAAACUUUGAUUUAUCAGAGCUUGACGGUACCUAAGGAAUAAGCACCGGCUAACUCCGUGCCAGCAGCCGCGGU